rnacentral:rRNA from 1 species
AUACGUAGGGAGCGAGCGUUGUCCGGAAUUACUGGGCGUAAAGGGCGCGUAGGCGGCGCUUCAAGUCGUCUGUCAAAUGGAAGGGCUUAACCCUUUUUCGCAGACGAAACUGGAGAGCUUGAGAAGCAGAGAGGCAAACAGAAUUCCUGGUGUAGCGGUGAAAUGCGUAGAUAUCAGGAAGAAUACCAGUGGCGAAGGCGGUUUGCUGGCUGCAUACUGACGAUGAAGCGCGAAAGCCAGGGGAGCGAACGUGAUUAGAUACCCUGGUAGUCCACGCCCGAAACGAUGAAUGCUAGGUGUAGGGGAGUCAUCUUCUGUGCCGCAGCUAACGCAAUAAGCAUUCCACCUGGGGAGUACGGCCGCACGGUUGAAACUCAAAUGAAUUGACGGGG